rnacentral:rRNA from 1 species
AUACGGAGGGUGCAAGCGUUGUUCGGAAUUAUUGGGCGUAAAGAGCAUGUAGGCGGACUGUUAAGUCUGGUGUGAAAGCCCGGGGCUCAACCCCGGAAGUGCAUUGGAUACUGGCAGUCUUGAGUAUGGGAGAGGAAAGUGGAAUUCCGAGUGUAGGAGUGAAAUCCGUAGAUAUUCGGAGGAACACCAGUGGCGAAGGCGGCUUUCUGGACCAAUACUGACGCUGAGAUGCGAAAGCGUGGGGAGCGAACAGGAUUAGAAACCCCUGUAGUCC